UACAGAGGUCUCAAGCGUUGUUCGGAUUCAUUGGGCGUAAAGGGUGCGUAGGUGGCGCCGUAAGUCAGGUGUGAAAUUUCGGAGCUUAACUCCGAAACUGCAUUUGAUACUGCGGUGCUUGAGGACUGGAGAGGAGACUUGGAAGUUUACGGUGUAGCAGUGAAAUGCGUAGAGAUCGUGAAGGAAGACCAGUGGCGAAGGCGGGUCUCUGG
rnacentral:rRNA from 1 species